rnacentral:rRNA from 1 species
AGAGAGAGCUUGCUUUCUCGAGCGAGUGGCGAACGGGUGAGUAACGCGUGAGGAACCUGUCUCAAAGAGGGGGACAACAGUUGGAAACGGCUGCUAAUACCGCAUAAGCGCACAGUACCGCAUGGUACAGUGUGAAAAACUCCGGUGGUGUGAGAUGGACCCGCGUCUGAUUAGCUAGUUGGCAGGGCAACGGCCUACCAAGGCGACGAUCAGUAGCCGACCUGAGAGGGUGACCGGCCACAUUGGGACUGAGACACGGCCCAAACUCC